rnacentral:lncRNA from 1 species
AUCAUCUCGGCAAAACAUGAGAAGAUCAUCAGCAAAACAAAUAUGCACACGGUUUUUAUUCUACUUGCAAACUUAGCUUGUGUUAGUUUAGAAAAAAGCAUGCUUAGUUGACCUUAUUGCCUAUUUGCUUAAACUACCUUAAUUGCAUUACGUGAAGCAUGUUAGGCUAGAAUUACUUGUUCACUCGUUACGAACUUAGUAUUUAUUUUAAGUUGUUGCUUUGUGUUUUAAUUUGGGACUACGAGACAGCAUCCCAGGAGAUCGCCUACACGUAAUUUUGAUUUGGACUGAGGUGCGGGAUACCAAGAGAUCCCUUGCACAAGUUAGGAGGAUACCAAGAGAUCCUUGGCAUAUAUAUUGAGGAUAUCAAUAGAUCCUCGAGAUACCAAGAGAUCCCUAGCAUAUAUAUUGAGGAUACCAAGAGAUCCUCGGGAUACCAAGGAUCCCUAGUGUAUAUAUUGAGGAUACCAAGAGAUCCUCGGUUAUCAUCCUUGUUGUAAGCAUUAUUUCUUUGUGUUCUUCCUUUAUUUUUGUUUCCAUUAUUAUAUUCUUAUUAUCCUGUAUAGACUCUAACUGUAGAUUCUCAAUUAUACUGUUUAUCUUCUCCAGUCAUUUUUAUUAUUAUUUACCUCAGUAGGGCCCUGACCUUCCUCUUCACUACCUGACCGAGGUUAGGAUUGGCACUUACUUACCAUUGUGGUGUACUCAUACCCUUUCUGUGCAUAUUUUUCAUGUGCAGAUCUAGAUACCUCUUCAUAAGCUUACCAUCCUUGAGGCAGGAAGAGCUUUUGGAGACUUCGAGGUACAUCUUCCGCAUCCGCAGGCUGAAGAAUCUCCCUCUUUAUUCUAUCUUGUAGUGUUAGCCUUUCUAUCAUACUGUUGAUAUAGACAUUCCGGAGUUAGAGCAUUUUGCUAUAUUUCUUUCAGCAUGUGUUCUCGUGAGUUUCCAGGUUUUGGAAUAGUG